rnacentral:rRNA from 1 species
UUAAGCAUAUCAAUAAGCGGAGGAAAAGAAACCAACAGGGAUUGCCUCAGUAACGGCGAGUGAAGCGGCAACAGCUCAAAUUUGAAAGCUGCCAUCAGGCCGCGUUGUAAUUUGUAGAAGCUGCUUUGGGUGUCGGCCCGGUCUAAGUUCCUUGGAACAGGACGUCAUAGAGGGUGAGAAUCCCGUAUGUGAUCGGUGCCGUUGCCCGUGUAAAGCGCUUUCGACGAGUCGAGUUGUUUGGGAAUGCAGCUCAAAAUGGGUGGUAAAUUUCAUCUAAAGCUAAAUAUUGGCCAGAGACCGAUAGCGCACAAGUAGAGUGAUCGAAAGAUGAAAAGCACUUUGGAAAGAGAGUUAAACAGUACGUGAAAUUGUUGAAAGGGAAGCGCUUGCAACCAGACUUGCGGGCGGUCGAUCAUCCGAGGUUUUCCCCGGUGCACUCGAUCGUUCUCAGGCCAGCAUCGGUUUCCGGGGUGGGAUAAAGGCGGUGGGAAUGUGGCUCUUCGGAGUGUUAUAGCCCAUCGUGCCAUGCCGCCUCCGGGGACCGAGGACCGCGCUUCGGCUAGGAUGCUGGCGUAAUGGUUGUAAGCGACCCGUCUUGAAACACGGACCAAGGAGUCUAACAUCUAUGCGAGUGUUUGGGUGUCAAACCCAUCCGCGUAAUGAAAGUGAACGGAGGUAAGAACCCGUUAGGGUGCAUUAUCGACCGAUCCUGAUGUCUUCGGAUGGAUUUGAGUAAGAGCAUAGCUGUUGGGACCCGAAAGAUGGUGAACUAUGCGUGAAUAGGGUGAAGCCAGAGGAAACUCUGGUGGAGGCUCGCAGCGGUUCUGACGUGCAAAUCGAUCGUCAAAUUUGCGUAUAGGGCGAAAGACUAAUCGAACCAUCUAGUAGCUGGUUCCUGCCGA